AAAUCAACCCAAGCUUUUCUACGUUUCUUAGCUUCUGGUCUGGUAUCAUUCACAAAUGGGAUUCUAUGGAGAGCAAUCCCCUUCUUCGAAUUUGAUGUGUUUGAACAUCCAAACACGACGCAUCUGUGUGGCAUCUUACCGGAAAAUUUUUUUAGCAAACUUCUUAAAAAAUAUAUCUUUUAGUGUUUGCUAUAAUACUAACGUUAUAGAAUAGCAGAAACAAUGAUCUAGUACCCAUUCUACUAGAUACCUGACUCAGCCAAAUUUGUAUAGUAAUGAGUGAGGCAAAUUUCUACGCGGCCGCCAUUUGCAAAGGUGGCAAAAGCACAAUGGCGGCAUAUAAAAACAUUAAGUCUGUGCUGAGAGAAAUCGACUUUGAGAGCGUUUUUAUGAUGCUGUUCUACUGAAGUUGCAUUAAAAAUGGAUUUACAUUUCCUUGGUUGUGGUGUGGAUGUUCAUCGAAGUCGACUAGAUUCCUUGAAAUAAAACAGCUUCGUAGAUUGCUGGCGAACACCAAUUUUGUUUUUGUGGAGGAUAUCUUUAUUAUAUUGCUUACCAUAGGUCGAAAGUCGUAAA